GUUGAACGCUGGCGGCGUGCCUAAUACAUGCAAGUCGAGCGAACGGACGAGGAGUAUGCUCCGCUGAUGUUAGCGGCGGACGGGUGAGUAACACGUGGAUAACCUACCUAUAAGGCUGGGACAUAUUGGGGAAACGGGUGCUAAUACCGGAUGAUAUUUUGAACCACAUGGUUCCCAAGUGAAAUACGGUCUUGCUGUCACUUAUAGAUGGAUCCGCGCUGCAUUAGCUAGUUGGUAAGGUAACGGCCUACCAAGGCAACGAUGCGUAGCCGACCUGAGAGGAUGAUCGGCCACACUGGAACUGAGACACGGUCCAGACUCCUACGGGAGGCAGCAGUGGGGAAUUUUCGGCAAUGGGCGAAAGCCUGACGGAGCAAUGCCGCGUGAGUGAUGAAGGUCUUCGGGUUGUAAAGCUCUGUUAGCAGGGAAGAAAAGAUGCGUGAUUAACUGUCCACAUCCUGACGGUACCUGAAGAGAAAGCAACGGCUAACUACGUG
rnacentral:rRNA from 1 species